GGGGAUGUGGCUUAGUGGUAGAGUGCUUGCCUAGCAUGCAUGACACCUGGGUUCAAUUCCUCAGUACCA
rnacentral:tRNA from 1 species